UUGCAUAAAACUAGCAAGUGAGCUUUGUUCCCUGUAAUGCUCUCAUGAUUUCAAGCUAGAUUUAAUCAAAUAAAAGUGCGCUGUUCUAGCUCAAGUUGUGUCACAAAACUAAUUACGUUCUUGGGAGUUUUCCGAGUUUCAGAGGUGGCCAAUAGAUGGCGAGGGUCCUCGUUUUUCAUGUAAUGGCGGAUUGUUGUGUUGUUGUCAAAAGUUCCUAUUUUUCCACGAAAUUACCGAUUAAUUCUUAAGAUGUAACGCGAAAGGAAGCAUCAGCCUUCGAUCAACCCAGCAACCCUUUCAUAAUUGACGUCCUGCUGAAUGCAUCAUCCAGUUAAUACAGGUCACUAAUCCCAGCGUGGACAUGUAUUGUUUUUUUCCGAACAUGUUUUACUACAAAUGUUGCAUUGACAGACAAGGAAAGCUAUGGAAAACAUUAUGUAGGACAUGACAUGAGUAAUCUUAGAAGUCACGUGAAAAGAUGCAGGGCAGGGCACUUACCAAAAUGUUCAACACUGCUGCAACUGUCUACAGUCACAGGCAGGAAUAUCGCUCUCUUUCUUCAGACAAUUGCAAAGCUAUUGGAGUAAUUUAGUCUUCAUCCCCACUUGACUCAUUUUGUCUUCUGGGUAGCUUAGGAAACCUGAUUGGUGUUAUCAAGCCAUUUUGAUAAUAACCGAGAGGAUGCAGCCUACAGACUGUGAACAUCAGAUGGGGUUAGACUUCAGCAUCUCUACGAGCCACGACGGAAACGUGCAGUGACAUCCUACAAGUUCUACGCGAAUCAUCUUUUGUUACUGUUGGUAAUAUGUUUUGUUAGUUAAUCCGUUGGCUGCCACGCCUUUGUUUCCCCCAUGUUAGCUCCUUAGCACGGGCCGCACUGUUUGGUCUCUUGGUCUUAUGUGCCUUGGGAUCGAACAGCUGCACCUGCCCAAGAUUCGCCGAAAGGCCCUGUUAGGCAAUGCACCAUAGGGACUUCCCCCCUUGUCGAUACGGUGAUGGAUUCUAG
rnacentral:lncRNA from 1 species